GACCUCAUAGCUCAAUUGGCUAGAGCGUUUGCUGUAUUAAAGCCAUUCCCUUGCUGAUGUGGGUUCGAACCCCACCGAGGCCG
rnacentral:tRNA from 1 species